rnacentral:lncRNA from 1 species
UUUUUUCAAUCAUUGUAUAUAGCUGAGUUCCACAUAAAGAGAAAUUAGCAUCAUUGAUUUUCUUAAUCUUCUAAACAUUUGGGUUUGGUAGUAUAUAAAGAGAUGCCUUAGGGUUGGACUAAUAAGAAUUUUAAUCACAGAUUUUUUUCUCUCAAAUAACUGUUAUUUGUUUUGACUAUGAUCUAAAUAGAGAUUUUAUUUGAAGCAGCCUAUCACUGAUGAGUCUUUUGUAGACGAAACGUGCGUCUGGCGUAAAUAUAAAAUUUCAAUCCUGGUUUCUAUGAUGAGUUUAUUAUCAAUAUAGUUUACGUUCGUACGUUUUGUCAGAUCAAUAUAGACAUUUAUUCCAAAUAGCAUUAAAAUAUAUGCAUUUCAUAAUAUAAUAAUACCUGCAUAUGUAUUGCGUCUGUUAAGCAGAAUAUCGAGGUGACGGAGUAAAAUCUUGUAAAAAAGACAAACGUUAGUAUUUUUAUAUUGUACACAAAGCAAAAUACAACUUAUAAUUAAAUCAUAUUUCCAAGAUUUAAUUUAGUGUAAAGACGUCACAAAAAGUCUGCAAAAAACAAAAUGACCUUGUGCAAUGCCAAAUUAUAAGUAUCCUCCUCAUUGUGAGCGAAACAAUAUUUCUAAUAAUCCAUGUUUUAUUUAUCUUGUUAUUAUUCAAACCAUUACGAUAUAAAAUUGACUUUU